GGUGGUGGUGGUGGUGGUGGUGGUUGGUAAUGGUGGUGUUGGUGGUGGUGGCUGCAGCACUGAGGUUUUGGCGAAGUCCAGGGGAUUCUGCUGGGCAGUCAGGGCUGCUGUGCUGCCUCCUGGUCAUUGCUGACCCACUCCCUGGCCAGCUUGAUUUAUCUGCUUCAAAAAUUCCUGAUGGUAUUUGAAAACUGAUUUUUUAAACAUUAAGAUUCAAUGUACAUUUAUUUAUUUAUUUAUUUUUGAGAUGGAGUCCUGCUCU
rnacentral:lncRNA from 1 species